rnacentral:rRNA from 1 species
AAUGAACGUUGGCGGCGUGGAUUAGGCAUGCAAGUCGAACGCUUUAUGUAGCAAUACAUGAAGAGUGGCGUAAGGGAGAGGAAUACAUGGUUAGCUACCCUUGGGACUGGGAUAGCGGCGGGAAACUGCCGGUAAUACCAGAUGACGUCUUCGGACCAAACGUGUGAACCGGCCCGAGGAGGCGACCAUGACCUAUCAGCUAGUUGGCGGUGUAAUAGACCACCAAGGCUAAGACGGGUAUGGGGCGUGAGAGCGUGCCCCCACUCACUGGGACUGAGACACUGCCCAGACACCUACGGGUGGCUGCAGUCGAGAAUCUUCGGCAAUGGGCGAAAGCCUGACCGAGCGACGCCGCGUGCGGGAUGAAGGCCUUCGGGUUGUAAACCGCUGUCGUAGGGGAGGAAGAUGCCGUGAAGAACGGUGUUUGACCGAUCCUAGGAGGAAGGGCCGGCUAAUCUCGUGCCAGCAGCCGCGGUAACAC